rnacentral:rRNA from 1 species
AUGGCUUGGCUUCGUGACCCGUUCUAUGUUGGCAAGUUGGUGACAGUUGAGAUAUCUGAGCCAACUCUGUUUAACAAGCAACCUGAGUCGAUGGAUGAGUACGAAGCAAUGCAGUUUGAUUUGGGUGAGUACGGGCCGUUGUCGCCAAAGAAGAAGAGGACACUGUUGUAUCCCGUUUUGUGCCAUAUGAAAGAGGUGAUUGAUCGUGGUCCUCUGCUAGCUGAGGACUUGCCUGCUGAGUGGCUACCAGCUGAAGGUGAAGACCUCAGUCGCAAGCACAUAUUCAAGACCGAGCUGGGAAAGAUAGAUGGGAUUGGAGAGUCAGAAGCAGUUUGA